rnacentral:rRNA from 1 species
AGCGAACGCUGGCGGCAGGCCUAACACAUGCAAGUCGAACGAACUCUUCGGAGUUAGUGGCGGACGGGUGAGUAACACGUGGGAACGUGCCUUUUGGUUCGGAAUAACUCAGGGAAACUUGUGCUAAUACCGAAUGUGCCCUUCGGGGGAAAGAUUUAUCGCCAUUAGAGCGGCCCGCGUCUGAUUAGCUAGUUGGUGAGGUAACGGCUCACCAAGGCGACGAUCAGUAGCUGGUCUGAGAGGAUGACCAGCCACACUGGGACUGAGACACGGCCCAGACUCCGACGGGAGGCAGCAGGGGGGAAUCUUGCGAAAGGGGGGAAGGCUUGACGCAGCCAUCCCGGGUGAAGAAGGAGGUUCUAAGGAUUGAAAAAUUCUUUCCCGGGGGAGGAAAAGGACGGUCCCGGGAAAAAAAGCCCCGCCAACCUUGGUG